rnacentral:rRNA from 1 species
GACGAACGCUGGCGGCGUGCUUAAUACAUGCAAGUCAACGACUUUUAGAGUAGCAAUAUUCUAAAGGAAGUGGCGCACGGGUGAGUAACACGUAGGUAAUCUGCCUUCAGGACUGACACAACUCGUCGAAAGACGGGCUAAUAUCAGAUAAUGCAGCGGCUCCGCAUGGAGACAGUUGUUAAAGUACAAGCGCCUGAAGAUGAGCCUGCGGUCCAUUAGCUAGUUGGUAGAGUAACAGCCUACCAAGGCAACGAUGGAUAGCUGGUCUGAGAGGAUGAUCAGCCACACUGGAACUGAGACACGGUCCAGACUCCUACGGGAGGCAGCAGUAAGGAAUAUUGCUCAAUGGCCGAAAGGCUGAAGCAGCAACGCCGCGUGAAGGAUGAAUGGCCUUUGGCCUGUAAACUUCUGUAAAAAGGGAAAACAAUCAGGCAUGUCCUGA